rnacentral:rRNA from 1 species
GAUGAACGCUGGCGGCGUGCCUAAUACAUGCAAGUCGAGCGAACAGACGAGGAGCUUGCUCCUCUGACGUUAGCGGCGGACGGGUGAGUAACACGUGGAUAACCUACCUAUAAGACUGGGAUAACUUCGGGAAACCGGAGCUACUACCGGAUAAUAUAUUGAACCGCAUGGUUCAAUAGUGAAAGACGGUUUUGCUGUCACUUAUAGAUGGAUCCGCGCCGCAUUAGCUAGUUGGUCAGGUAACGGCUUACCAAGGCAACGAUGCGUAGCCGACCUGAGAGGGUGAUCGGCCACACUGGAACUGAGACACGGUCCAGACUCCUACGGGAGGCAGCAGUAGGGAAUCUUCCGCAAUGGGCGAAAGCCUGACGGAGCAACGCCGCGUGAGUGAUGAAGGUCUUCGGAUCGUAAAACUCUGUUAUUAGGGAAGAACAAAUGUGUAAGUAACUAUGCACGUCUUGACGGUACCUAAUCAGAAAGCCACGGCUAACUACGUG